rnacentral:rRNA from 1 species
AUUGAACGCUGGCGGCAGGCCUAACACAUGCAAGUCGAGCGAGCGGCGGACGGGUGAGUAAUGUCUGGGAAACUGCCUGAUGGAGGGGGAUAACUACUGGAAAAGGUCGCUAAUACCGCAUACCAUCAGAUGUGCCCAGAUGGGAUUAGCUGGUAGGUGGGGUAAAGGCUCACCUAGGCGACGCUCCCUAGCUGGUCUGAGAGGAUGACCAGCCACACUGGAACUGCGACACGGUCCAGACUCCUACGGGAGGCAGCAGUGGGGAAUAUUGCACAAUGUGCGCAAGCCUGAUACAGCCAUGCCGCGUGUAUGAAGAAGGCCUUCGGGUUGUAAAGUACUUUCAGCGGGGAGGCGUUACCCGCAGAAGAAGCACCGGCUAACUCCGUGCCAGCAGCCGCGGUAAUAC